UAUUUUUAUAAGGAUAUUAUUGUAAAAGUAAAAAGAAUGAGGGUAGGAUUAUAAUAUAAAUACUAACAAGGGUAUCUCAGAGAUAUUUUUUUAAAAUAUAAGAAUUAAAUAGACACUUAACUUGAAAUAUAAAGACUAAAGAAACAUUUACGGAAAUAACUCCUAUUGCCAAAAUCCAUGCUAACCCUUUAAUUUGUUGGGCAGUUUUGACUUCUCAGUUGCAUCCAAAUCCAUGCAAGGGAUGUUUAAUCUUUUUUUUUUUUUUUGAACCACGAGGUGGUGCUGAGUGGGCCCCAACUGGCUUGAGACUUGAGACUUCUUGUAUGAGGGACGGAGCCAGUAUGGGACUAGCUGGGGAACAGGCCCCAACUGGCUUUUAAAUUUUUUUUCAUGAUUAUAUUAAAAAAUUAUAUUUUAUUUUUUAUUUAUGAAAAAUGCCCCAGUUGAAUUGUAAGAUUUGAAAGUGACUCUAGUAAUUUUAAAAUAUUUCAUAUUGUCUCUAGUUUAAAUGUCUACUUCUAAAUAAUUUAAUUAAUUAUUAACAUUUCAUGAAACUUGAUUAAAUGCACGAGAACAAAUAUUAAAAUAAAAACAAUCAUAACAAAAUGUUAGUAUAAUGGUUAAUGAACCAGUCCUUAAUCUUUUUGUUUUCUAUUCAAGCAAAAUCAAGUAUUUGGUCUUUCAACAUUGACCCAUAAGUUGUGAGUCUACCUAAUUCUAAUUUUUAAUUUUUUGAUUAAUUGUUUGUCUAGUUUUAAAAUCUAUAAUUUUAUCAUACAUUCAUGUUUGCUCUGUGUGUUGCAAUAUAUUAAUAUUUUUGUUAUUAUUAAAAGAUAAGAGUAAAUUAAGUAAUAACCUAGUCUUGUAUAUUGAAAAAUGUAUUUUUGCUUAUAUUGAUAAUGAAACUAUCAUAUAUUAUUUUCAACUCAUAAAAUCUCAUUGAGGAGUUUUUAACGAGAACAAUUGUAAUAAGUAAAUUUAUUAUCAAUGAAUAUUAUAGUUGUAAUGUUAUAUAUUGCUAUCUAAAUUUUUAAAAGUGUCUUAUACUUUAAAUAGAGUUUCACUUAUAUGCAUGCAGACACACUUUAUAAGGAGCACGAUUGUGCAUGUAGUAAGCUUCCAUUUGUAGUUUGUGGGGCCCACAACUCAGUUUCCCAAAUGAGAACUUACAACACGCACAGUCACGCAUUCAAGUCAUGUUUGAUUUUAAAUGUGCUCCAGCUCCAUCAAUUGGCUACGUCCUGACUUGUAUCACUUAAAAGUAUUUAAUUUAUUAAAUUAAUUUACGUUAGUCGGUUUAAUCUCGAGACCUCUUAAACCAUUAGAUAAAAUUCUUAUCAAUUAAACUAAGAAUCACAUAUGAUAGCUCUAUACUGCAUUAAGAAAAUUUCAUUUAUGUUAAGACGGUGAUGUUAGAUUAUUUAUUUAUUUUAUAAAUUGUACUAUGACAAGGUUGUAAUUUCAAAAAAAAGAAAAAAAAAUGAAAUGACACCCUCUAUUCGUGGUCGUGUCACCUAUUAAACAUACUUUUAUAUAUACUGUUGUGAUCUCAAAUCUUACGUGUCUAAAAAUAUAACUCAACUGAGCAUAACAUUAGUCUAUGGAGGUGGUCUGUAAGGUGGCAAUUGUUUUUUUGCUUUUUAUUUUUGAAAAGUACAAGAUGAGCAGAUGUUUUGCUUUCUGCGUAAUGGUCUUUUACGUGUAAAGUGAAUUUAUAUAUCUUUUCUAUAAAAACAAUCCAUGUGGUGCGUUAGUCUUACUAUAGCAAUUAGCAAUUUUGUUAGGCACGUGCUCUUUUUUUUUUAAAAAAAAAAAAUUAAAAUCAAACCAUAGGAUACUUCAAGUUGCCUUAAUUGCUCGAUUCAGAGGUCUCACUUUUCAGAUUGACCAAAUGACUAGCCGAAACUCACUGACCACGACACCAAGUUGUCUGAUCCAAUGAAAUAUACAAGUAACCUAGCCUUCGGUUUGGCUUGACCAUUUUAUUAAGCUAACCAUGGAAAAUAAACAAUGACCCAAAAAACUUUCAAAGGAGACGGGUAUAAUUUGGGCACCAUCAUUUGAUGAGGAAAUCAAUUAAAUCUGUUAAUCCUAAAGUAUCUAGACUCCGCGUUAUGGGUGUCAAUCGAAGUCACGAUCUAAUCAUCUUCUUUGUUCCUUCCAAUGAAAGGUAGAAAAUGAUUAAUUAAAAUUACACGUCUUUAGCAAGAAAAUGCUAUUUUAUUUUAAGAUUAAAUUUCGUUUUGUUUUAUCCUCGAAAGAAGACAAAGGUGUGAACGUUGUUCUAUAUACAGCCAAAAUAGCAGAGAUAAUUAUUGGGCAAGGGGAGGCAAAUCUCAUAAUUAUGCAACAAAAAGUCCACUCCAAAUUCACACGUCCGAUUAAUAAAAUUAUAAGAAUAUUAAUAAUGGGGGUUAGACUAUAUUAAAUAUAAGGUAACAUAUAACGAAUUUAUGAAUUGUUAUUCAUAAUAAUUCAAUUGUUUUUAUUAAUAUAAUUGUUUUUAAUUUUAAAUGAUUACUCAAGGGUUAUUGUAUGUUGAAUGUAACAUGACCCUUUAUAAUACUACUAAGUACAAUAAUACAAUUAGAGAAUGCUAUUAUGUCUAUAUUUACUAUUUAUUCACCGUUACCACCAAUGAAUGCAAAAGCUGAGUGGUCCACUAGCAAUGAAAGGCCAAUGAGCACCAAUAAUCUGUAUUACCAUUGCAUCACCAGCAUCUGUAAUGUUCCAGCUAAUAAAUUGUUUUUUAUAUAUAAUGAUUUAAUUUUCUAAACUUAAAAGAUGAUCUUUAUAUACUCCUUUAGCUGCAAAAGUUUCUUUCUCGCUGUCUAUUUCUUUUUAUUUUUUAAUAAAUAGUGGAAAAAGUAUUCUGCUUUUUGAGUUCUGUCAUGCAUACUUAAUGACAAAUCUUGUCCCGCAAAUUAUAAUAUUAUUCACAUUAGUUUAUUAACAAAGAGAUACUUGAUGAAAUUUGAGACCUCAUUAUACUGCACUAUAACGAGCCAUGGGGCCGCAUUACGCAAAUCCCGAAGGAAUUACCAAAGAGAUGCUUGAUAAAAUUUGAGACCUUAUUAUGCUGCAUUAUAAUACACCAUAAUGAGGCAUGGGGCUGCAUUACGCAAACCCGAGGUAGCCUUUUGCCUCAAUUGGGGCAACAGUUAAUGCUUCAAUUGAGUCAAAUUUAUUUUAUUAA
rnacentral:lncRNA from 1 species